UAUGUGAAAUGGUUAUUCUAAUAAAUUUUUAGUUAAAUUAUUUUAGUUGAUUGUAUUGAAUUUAAUUAAUCAUAUUUAUUUAAUUGAUUGUUUAAUUAAUGGGUAAAGAGUGUAUUUUAUACUAUUGAUAUAUAGGGGAGACACAAAAGUUCAUUUACUAUAACGACCUCAAGAGUUCUCUUAUAAAAUAGUGAUUUGUGUAUAACGUAUACUAAUGUUACUAUUACUUUUAAUUAAUUAAUAUUCACACAAUUUUUUUUAACAACUUAACAUAAUUAUAAGAGUGAUUUUCAACUUGAACACUCUCUUUUGCCUUUUAUAUUUCAUUUAUAAUUAAUGUAGUAUUAAUUUAAACUUUAUAAUUAGUAGGGAAUUAAUUAAUUAAAAUGCGAAUUAAUUGAGAGUAUUGUGGACUAUUAUAUAGGGGGACACCAAAAUAUCAAUUAAUAAAAUGACCUCAAGAAUUCAUUUAUAGAAUAGUGAUAAUAAUACUUCAUAACCAGCUUUGGACUCAUCCAGUAUUCCAAGAUACUAUACAUGUUAUACCCUUUUUGAGAAAACAUAAAUUAUACUUUCAUACUUAAAUAGUUAAAUAUCAUGAUCAAAGCUUUGUUUGAUUAUUUGUUUCGUUCUAUUUAUUGUCAUUUAUUUUAUUUUUAUUUUUUUGGUAAAAUAACAUGUGAGUUUAUAUAGUCUAGUGGUUAAAGUUGGGUUACUUAAACUUGACAUCGUGGGUUCUAAAUUCUAAUCUUACAUAUAUUUAUUUAUUUAUUGAUGCAUGAGAAUGAGAAAGUAUGGAACACUUUAGAUGGAGAAGACACUAGUGGAAAAAACGCCUAUUGUAGCCCCCUUGUUGAGGGGGGCAUACAUAAGUGAGCCUCAAUAACCACUCAGCCAACGCGGGUCAAAUGUUUUACUAACAGGUUGAGGCGGGCUUUUGUGGUGUUCGCUUCUAUAGAUACUGUUGAAGGGGGCUUUUGAUUGCCCGCCUCAAUAGACACUAGUCUAAAGGGGCGGGCUUAUGUUUGUUCGCUUCAACAGGUCUCCUCCUCACCGCCAAACAGAUAAGAUCUACUGAUUUUAAUUCUCUCUCCUCAUUUCAUCUGUUUCAUUUCUCUCUCUUCUCUCCCCUCUCCUCUCUCCUGGUUCAAAACUCCUCAAACCCGCUAUUUCGUCAACAAAUCGGGCUCCCACUCGCUCUCCUCACAGUCGUUGGCUUCCAUGGAAGCUUUUCCUCCGCCUUCCAUGGAAGAGUUACAAAGCUAGGGUAUCUCCGCGACCUCUCUCCCUCGACUCUUCAAACUCGUCGAUUUGUCUCCCUCCUCAAGCUAGGGUAUAUCGAUUCUAUCGUUUCUGCUUUCUUUUUUCUUAAUUUUAUGCUGGUAUUGCGAAAAAUUAAUGUUAUGGGUGUUGAAUUCGUUCAAUUUGAACUUUUGAUGCCGCAUUUUGGUAUAUAGUAUAGAUCUAUGAUGUUUUGUUGUUUUUAAUUGGUUAAAUCUAAUUUUUGAUGCCUCGUUGCAUAAUAUGAGAACAUGUAUUUGAAAUUUAUUAAGUUAGGGGUUUCGAUAUUUGCAAUAAUCGCAAUUAAGGUUUAUUUCAAUAAUGUUCCUCUUUUACGCUUCUAAUUUGCAUACUGAAUUUCUUCGUUAUUCAUAUUAAUAUAAUAAGUCGACAUCUUAGUAUCUGAAAUAGAAUUGGGUACUUUCAGCAAAUUGUUGCUAGUAAUAUUUUUGGUUGACUAAGUUGUUGAGUAUGAUUUAGCCUAGAGGGUGGAAAUCUUGAGUACUUGUCUUCAGAGUUUUCCCUAAUCAUCAGAUUAAUAAUAACAAUCUCAGAAAGGUUUGAUUCGAUUGUAAAGAAAACUCUGGAUUUGAAUAUGAGUGCACAUUAUGUUCACUGGAUUCUGCUUGUGAUAAGCAUAUAAGUUUAGUGUAAAUAUGUAUCCCUGCAUUGUAGGAGUAAACUUCAAGCAUUUAGAGGGAGUAUGUUUGGAUUAGGUACAUUUCAUAAUGAACAAAGUAUGGAGGUGUAGUAUUGUGAAACUUUAGAUUUUGGUAGUUCUUCAUUUCGAAUCAUCUAGUGUGGGCGAAAGGUGCUAUACUAGUAUUCGCACAUAAAUGAUUCAAUUUUGAACUUAAGUUGAUUGUGGAAUUUGCUAGACUUUCCUCCCUGCAAAAUAAGCUGGUAAUGUCUCAGAACUUAUGAAGUUUGGUACAGUACUAUCUAUACUCCUGUAUUGUGCAAGAAAGGAAGUUAAACAAUUUGGGAUGAAAGUUCAAGACAGUCAAACAGACUCUUCCUGAAUGUUUCGUCUGAAUACCAGUAAAUGAAUUAGAUCACAGGCACAGUCAAUCUCCUCGAUUUCUCAAUUUCAUAUAGGGAAUUAGUAGAAUGGUCUAAUUUGGUAUCUGAUGUAGCUUAUCCUGUCUUCUGGGUGUUUGUCCUGUCUUUUAAUGAACAAUCCUUGUGAUGCGCACAAAAUUUUCUGAAGUGAAGUUUCACAAUGAAACAAUAUGUCACAUAUAAGGCAGGAAUUUUAUGUUUUUUCACUGGUUCUUUAACUUACUGAAAUAGCAUUGCUGGAUAAGUCGUUUUACAAGUGAUAUACAAUACAACUACUACCUACUGUUACAGGGGAUAUGAUGCUACAGUCCCAUGAUGCUCUUGUAACAUUCAUAAAACUGUAUUUUUUUGUGCGCUGUAUGUUUACACUAGUAAUUUCGCUGCUCAUAAUAUCUGGCUCUCUAUGUGUUGCACUAGAAUGACUAGAUAAAUCUGAUUUUAUUUAAGUAGGUAUACUAUGUGUUUGAUGAAGCAAACAUGGCUUUUGUGCUUCCUGUUGAUGACUAUAAGCAUGCUCAUUACUAUUUUCAUUAUGAAUAGUACUAGCUGCGUUCCUCCAAAUUAUAUGGACAGGCAACCUGACAUUAAUGAAAAGAUGAGAGCCAUUCUGGUUGAUUGGCUGAUUGAGGUCCAUUAUUAGUUUGAGCUCAUGGAGGAGACGAUAUAUCUGACAGUUAACCAGAUCGACCGCUUCUUAGCAAUUAAGCCAGUGGGGAGAAAAAAAGCUCCAGCUAGUAGGUGUCACAGCAAUGCUUCUGGCUAGGAAAUAUGAAGAGGUGUCAGCUCCGGUUGUUGAAGAUCUGGUACUGGUAUCUGGUAGGGCUUAUAGUAGGCAAGAAGUUAUUAAUAUGGUAAAAAUCUACAGAGUGGUGUUAUGGUAAUGUACAUUCUGCAUUGUUGGAUCAGAUAUUUGUAUCAACAUCUUGCUAUCUUUUUCUUCUGGUGAUUAGUUUCUGAAACUGAUGGUCUUUUUUAAUUGUUGGAUCUUUAACAGCUCGAACUCCUGUCCUUUUUGAUUGAGCUUUGCCUGAUUGAGUAAGAAGUGUUGAAGUUCCCACCUUGUCUAUUAGCAGCAACAUCAGUAUUCAGUGCUAUGUGCACUAUGAGUGGGUGCAAGCAUUGGAAGAAGACCUGUGCGUGGCACACUGGUUAUUCUCAAGAUCGGUUAAUGGACUGUUCAAGACUGAUGAUUACUUUCCAUCUGAACGCUGCAUCAGCAAAGCUCACUGGUGUACUGUCCAUCGGAAGUACAACACUUCUAGAUAUGGCUACACAGCAAAAUGCGAACCAACUCUCUUUCUCUUAGAAACCAUUGGGUUCAGUGGGUGGACAUACAAAUAAGGAAGCCAAAUGAAUCCACCGUUCUCUUGGGGUCUGGCAUUAAGGACUUUAAAGCAACUGAAGUUGUGCCCUCUUCUACUGAAGUUGUGUGAAUUUAUAUUGUAAAAUUACAUUAAACAAUAUUAUUUCAAUA